GACUGCAUAGCUCAGUUGGCAGAGCAUUGGGCUAGUAUUCCAAAGCAUUGGGCUAGUAUUCCAAAGGUCGUAGGUUUGAUUCCUACUGUGGCCA